rnacentral:rRNA from 1 species
GACUCUCGGCAACGGAUAUCUCGUCUCUCGCAUCGAUGAAGAACGUAGCGAAAUGCGAUACUUGGAGUGAAUUGCAGAAUCCUGUGAACCACCGAGUCUUUGAAUGCAAGUUGCGCCCGAAGCCAUUAGGCCGAGGGCACGUCUGCCUGGGCGUCA